rnacentral:lncRNA from 1 species
UCUUCUUUUAUGUGGUUAGGAUGUUUACACUAAUUACAGAUUUAUGAGAGAAUGGAAUCCCAUAGCGACAAUUUGAGACACCCUUUUGAAGCUCAUGAUGUGUUGAUUGAUUAAGAUUGCGUUAAAAUUUUCUGUAUAGUUAAAGAGAUGAUAGAGCUAAAUUCAUUUAAGUGAACUGACCCAGAUUUUGCCACUAAUUACAUAAUAAUUGAUU